rnacentral:rRNA from 1 species
CGUGGGUAACCUGCCCAAGAGAUCGGGAUAACACCUGGAAACAGAUGCUAAUACCGGAUAACAACAGAUAAUGCCUAUCAACUGUUUAAAAGAUGGUUCUGCUAUCACUCUUGGAUGGACCUGCGGUGCAUUAGCUAGUUGGUAGGGUAACGGCCUACCAAGGCGAUGAUGCAUAGCCGAGUUGAGAGACUGAUCGGCCACAUUGGGACUGAGACACGGCCCAAACUCCUACGGGAGGCAGCAGCU